CACCAACUCAAUUUUCCUUGCCAAAGUUCCAUUAUUUUGCUUAAUGAGUCAUAAAAUUGUAAUGAACCUUUAUUCCUAUGCUUCCAAAACCAUUUUUAGAAAUAUUGGGGAGACAGGGAGACCACCUUCCUCUCACUCCUCUACCUCUCUCCGCGAUUCACCUCCCUUCCCUUCCCCUCCAAUUCAUUUUUCUCUCUCCUCUGUGUUGCCGCGCCGGAACGGCUGCUUCCUCGCCUCCCCUUCUUUCUGGUCGCCGCUGAUGUGGUUCUUGUUGUUGUUGUUGUUGCGCUAUUGUUUAUGGUGUUGCUUCGCUUUCUCGUUCUCGUUCCCAGUACAGUCGACGAUCGUUGUCUCGAAUUGCCGUAUUCGACAACCCACCACUCAAUUAGGUAAUAUCUUUAAUCUUGUUCAUUGAUUUGCUGAAUAGAAAAAAACCCUAAUUUAUAAACCCUAACUCAAUCGAUUUUCUCUCUCCCCUGGUGGUGGUGCAUCCUCCCCCUUCACCGUGGCUAAACUUCCUUAGCUAGAAAUUUCGUUCCUGAGGUUUGAAGGUUUUAUGGAAGUAUUGGUUUUUGUGGAUCACUAGCAGUCUGUAGUCUAGCAUAUAGUGUUAUUAUGUUUGCAAAUAAUUACAGUUCUGAAUCUUUUGACAUUUUAUUUGUUUGUAUCACUUACUUCUCCAUGAAAUGACUGGCUUGAGGUACCUGAUAGUCUGAUAGUAUGUAGUUUGCAACUUCACGUGAAGGAAUCUUUUACUUGGAUCCAUCUGGAUAGAUACACUAGCAUUCAAAAAGUUCAGAAUGUAAAACGACUCUAUUAUUAAGAACUCUUGAUUAAAUUAAUAGACUGUCCGGGAUAUUAUCGGAUAGUUUCCCUUUCAAAGGGCGUGUAACGUAGUUAGUUUGUAUCAGUUUCUUUGAACACCCUUUCUAUGAAAUCACUGCCGAACUAGCUAAAUGCCACAGGGCCAUAGUUGAUUUUAGGAUUAUAGUAGAAGUGUGAGCAAUCAAUCAUUUUGCUAGAAUUUUCGCUGCUUGCUCAGAAAUUAAUUUGGAGAACGUUUAUUUGGAGAUUUCAUAUUACUUGCAGUUGCACGGAUAUUGGGGGAUUUGGUUGAUAAAUAUGAGGAGAUGAUUGAGAAUUUUCAUCCAGGUUUGGGUGAUCAUAGGUGGCUGUUGGUCACCAAUUUUGUGGAUUGUAAGCCUUGCAUCAAGAUUAGUGAUUUACCCUGUGGAAAGAUGUUUGAAAGAGAUGGAGAGAGCGUUUAAUUUUGGGGAUAACCAGGUUUUGAAAAUGUAUGGAUUUAGUCAUACAUCCCUCGCUAGCAGGAGAGUGAAGAGAAUACGGGAUGAGCAUUGAUACAGGAUAGGUUAAAGAUGAGCUGGGGUUUCAGGCGACCAAGGUAUCAUGAUCCUGACUUGGUUGGUCUCUAUUCUCUUUUCUUGCUGAUUUCUUAGCUCGUAUUGCAUGUUAGUGUAUGAUUUUGCGUAAGGGUUAUGCGUAUGUGUUCAUUAGGUUUGUACAUAGUAUUCCUUUGUUCCUUUCACCCUUCAACGAAUUUCAAUUGUGAAGUUAGGGUUUCAAAUGUUCUUCAUUUCAGUGUUUUUAAUUGCGAUUUUGAUUACUAAAAUGAUCUCAUUUCCCUGUUUCAUUAGGAUGGCGUAGGGACAAAGCUGUUGUAUUUCAAUCAGAUUCCCUUCACUUCUCUUUACCUCUUUUAGCUGUUGAAUCAGAAACUUGACAAGGAAUCAUUUUACACGAGUUCAACACCUUUUCAGUUUCAGAAGCAAAACUACCUUAUGUCGUUAGCAGCACAAAUAUUGAUGCGUUGGAGAGGUUUGGUAUUCGUGAAGAACAAAAGUUUCAAUUCCUUGGAAAGUAUGUGCUAGUUCAAUCUUUAACUUCCAUGAUUAUGAUCCUAGAACUCUUUACUUGCCUCCUCAGUUUCUGAAAAAUCUGACAGGUGGUCAGGUGAAUAUGUUAACAUUUAAAAGUGUUUGGUUAUAUUUUUCUUGGCAUUGUUUUAGUUGUUUUGCUUGGUAUUGUGUUGGUAGUUUUGAUUAUUUCUGUUGAUCAUUGCUUCUGCUGGAGAUUAUUAAAAUCGUAAAUGUAUAAGAUGAGUCAUACAAGUAGGGACUGAUGGAUUAUAGUUGUUUGUGAUUCUGCUCUGUGUACUGGUCUGACUUUUGAUUGCUUUUGUAAUGUUUCACUGAGUAUUGUUCAGUUGUGUUGAGUUCUGAUCUGAUUCGUUGUUCUUAUCUUCAGCAUGUGAUGUUCCAUUGCUGGUAUUGUAUUGAGCAACAGAAGGGUUUUCAUUUGAAUAUGGUGUAAUGAUUCUUGCAAUUUGUAGUCAGUAUCUAGUUUACAUUAAGCUAAUUGUCUCAUGAUGGUGAGUUUGAUGGCAUUUGCGUGUUUCAGUGAUUGUAUCCUUCUAAUAUUGUGGGUCUUUCUGAAAUAAGCCUUUUAAAUAGCUUGUUCUCCUCUGACCCUGCCGCUGCAUAUAGAUAUCCGUCUCAUUCAUAUCACCAAGCUGCGUUUUGUCUGCUGCUGUAAACUCAGAGGAGAUGAGUACCAUAUAUUUUUGGUUCUCUUCUCAUCUGCUGCUGUUAGAUGAUUAUCUAGUGUAUUUGAUGUAUUAACAUCUAUCUUCUUGGUGCUUGUUACCGGUAAUCAGAGUAUAUAAUCCAGUUUAGCUUCUUUCUUAUGGUAUUGAAGUCUUCAAAUAAGGUUAAAAAUAAUGGUCAUUGUGUUUCUUAGUUUCACAUUCAACGGUCACGAAUCUUAAUUUGAGUUGAAUACUUCAAUAUUCUAUCAGAAUUUCAUAAUUAUAUAGGUUUGUGUAGCAAUGCUUUCGAAUAUCUAUUCGCUUGUGGAUCAGUGUAUAAUUCUAUUUUCCAACCAACUUCCGAAAUGAAUUUCCGAGGAACAGUAUGGUUUAUAUAUAUUAAUCUGAGCAACAGUGUGUUACAUAUUAUUGUUUCAUCAUAUUUCAUGAUUCAUCUGUUUUAUUAUGUUUCAUUAUAUCAGCUGUUCAGCACCAUCAAAACCUUAGCUUCAUCAGAUUGAUUCGAGUCUCUUAGGUGGUUGGUAAGUCCUUUAAUUUUCUGUUACGUCAUAUUAUUUUUGUUAUAAUAAUAUAUAGUUUCAAGCUGUGAGGACUAGGAGAAAGUUGAAAAAGAAACUGAGCAGGAAAGGGUAGGGGUGAAUAGGAUUAUCAAAGACGGUAAGCCGUAAGCUAACUACAAUAACAAGGGACCAAAUGCUGAACACCUUUUCGUGUAGGUGAGACUUGGUCAUGAUACAAGUUAUGAAGUUUCUUUGAGAAGCUUAAGGGGAAAGAACAUGAAUAUAUCUCACAGCAACUAAAAAUAGUUAUUUGGCUUUUUGUAUUAGUGAACUAUACUAGCUUUGACUUGUUUUCUAUCUAGGGGAAAAAAUAUAGAACAUCUAUUAUUUCCCGGUAAACAUAUUGAUAAUCUGUGCUAUGUUCUAUUUUUUUUUUUUCUGCUGCUGAUUUGUAGUCUUGUUUAGUUGGCCUAGGUGUCUCUGAUCUGAGCCUGAGUUGCAGAACUAGGCUGUUGUGGUCUGUUGCUGUUCUAAUUCUUGUUAUUCGGCUGAUUUCCACUUUGUUGAUGUGUGAUCUACAGUGUGUUCUACAACAUUGCUGUUAUUUUCUUGAAGCCCGAAGGUGGCUGCGAAUUCGAAGAAGAGUUGCAUGUAGCAUGUGGUGUGGUUAGUUAAAGUUAUUUUGGGCUGACUUGGUUAGACAUUGGUAGUUUUGUGGUUUUUUGGUAUUGGUUUUAGUUUGGUUGGCUAGCUUAGUUUUAUGUAGUUUUUGGGCUUGCAGGUUGUUGCAAGGCCUAGGAUGUUUUAUUUGGCCGAGCUUGUACAAAAUAUUGGUUCUCUUUUGAUUAAUAAUAUUACUUAUUUACCAAAAAAUAA